AACCUGCGAAAGGAUCAUUAAAUUUCUUUGGCGUGCCACUGUCGGGAGGCGCUGUAAGCCCGUAUAGUAUAAUUAUACUGACUGCAAACCAAUUUCAAAGCGUAUUUGUUAUAGGGUUUCAGCGGUAAUAGCACUAAUUAUACUGCUUGAGCGGCUAGCCCUCUGUCUGAACCCUUGUCUUUUGUGCACUUGUUUCCUCGGCGGGUCUGCCCGUCUUUAGGACCCAACUAUAACCCUUUUUAUUUUUAAUCUGCGUCUGAAAACAAUAUAAUCAUUACAACUUUCAACAACGGAUCUCUUGGUUCUGGCAUCGAUGAAGAACGCAGCGAAAUGCGAUAAGUAGUGUGAAUUGCAGAAUUCAGUGAAUCAUCGAAUCUUUGAACGCACAUUGCGCCCCUUGGUAUUCCAUGGGGCAUGCCUGUUCGAGCGUCAUUUGUACCCUCAGGCUUUGCUUGGUGUUGGGUGUUUGUCCUCUCCUCUGUGUUUGGACUCGCCUUAAAAUAAUUGGCAGCCAGUGUUUUGGUAUAGAAGCGCAGCACAUUUUGCGAUUCUGGCUGAUAAUACUUGCGUCCAUAAGCCUUUUUAUUAACGCUUGACCUCGGAUCAGGUAGGGAUACCCGCUGAACUUAAGCAUAUCAAUAAGCGGAGGAAAG
rnacentral:rRNA from 1 species